AGCGAACGUUUGCGGCGGGCCUAACACAUGCAAGUCGAACGGGCUAGCAAUAGUCAGUGGCGCACGGGUGCGUAACACGUGGGUAAUCAACCCUUCAGCUCGGGAUAACGCCUUGAAAGGGGCGCUAAUACCGGAUACGACGCGAGGAGCUUCGGCUGCUUGCGGGAAAGAUUCGCAAGGAUCUCUGAAGGACGAGCCUGCGGCCCAUCAGCUAGUUGGUGAGGUAAGAGCUCACCAAGGCGAAGACGGGUAGCUGGUCUGAGAGGAUGAUCAGCCACACUGGAACUGAGACACGGUCCAGACUCCUACGGGAGGCAGCAGUGGGGAAUAUUGCGCAAUGGGCGAAAGCCUGACGCAGCCACGCCGCGUGAGCGAUGAAGGCCUCGGUCGUAAGACGUCUGUGGGAGGAGACGAAGAAAGACCUGUGAAGAGACAGGACCGUCGACGGUAGUACUCCUUACGUC
rnacentral:rRNA from 1 species